UACGUAGGGUGCGAGCGUUGUCCGGAAUUAUUGGGCGUAAAGAGCUUGUAGGUGGCUCGUUGCGUCGGGAGUGAAAACCUGCGGCUUAACCGCAGGCCUGCUUCCGAUACGGGCGAGCUAGAGUUCGGCAGGGGAGACUGGAAUUCCGUGGUGUAGCGGUGGAAUGCGCAGCAUAUCAGGAGGAACGACCGGUGGCGAAGGCGGGUCUCUGGGCCGAUACUGACACUGAGAAGCGAAAGCGUGGGAGCGAAC
rnacentral:rRNA from 1 species